rnacentral:lncRNA from 1 species
GGAAGGCGCCGACGAGGAGCUGUGCCGUGCCGCUCUUGGGGAUGGGGCACUUGAUUUCCUGAAGAGCCUUUGCCUGUGCCCUAGAAGUGGAGGAAGCUCUAGAAGGAGUCAUGACUGAAAGAAGCCCAGCUCCACCUGGUGUAGGCAGAAAGCCAGUUGGCUUGCUACCACCCUGCUGGCUCGUGACUCUGCCUGGUGGCUUCACUCUUCAGACCAGCUUUCUCUGGAGGCCAGCCUCAUGGCCAUAGGAAGUCCCCUCACCGUUCGGGAGGGCAUCUGGCGGAUCCCCGUGGACGAGAUUGACCGGCCGGGCAGCUUUGCCUGGCACAUGAACCGCUCCAUCGUGCUGCUGCUCAAGGUG